GCGGCCCAGAUGUAUCGCCCAGUUAAGUUCAUUGCUCGGAGGUUUGUCAAGAACCAGAAAGGUCAAACAAACCUGGGUCGCUGGGCAUGCAGUGACGUGUUGGCGACAACGCGCUCUCCGGCGACGGAAUCUGUCACGCCUCUUUGAAGCUUCCGGUUCCAGUUCCGCAGCUCCCUGUUUGUAGAUGACUAAGUCCAGCUCUGAUGACGUCAUGCUGCGUUGGGUGAAUGGUGAGUGAACGACUUCAAGCAUAACAUUCUGAAGGAAAUCGCGACACUACGAGACUAUGACCAAUUUAGAUCUUUCAACAUAAUGUAAAAUUAUUUGCACUGUGUAAGUAUAUAUUCCUCUAAGUGGUCGCAGUGACUCCAAGUAGUUCAUGUUUUCAAUGCUAAUAAAU